ACUCAGGUUUUUUUUAAAACCCUUUACUUAACAAAUCAAUAAGUAU
rfam:Gorilla gorilla gorilla genomic chromosome, chr3, whole genome shotgun sequence